rnacentral:lncRNA from 1 species
UGCUGGAACCUGCCGCUUUGCAGGCAGGAUGAACUUGUCUUGGCUCCGUUUCUUCUUUCUCCCCAUCUAGUUCCUCCCUUAGCUCGAGUGGCCAUCUCAGUUGAACCGUUCAUGUUGCGAGCUGCUGGCCGGCCGCAACAUUUUGGCACCUGAACAGGGACCUGAAGAAUGGCAGAGAGAUGCUAAGAGAAAGGCUGCUGGUAUGGAGCUCCACAGGAAAGGAUCUUUGUAUCGGGCACCGAGCAAUGGACAGGCGAAUCAGACUGAAGAGUACGGCAGUCAAUAAGGGUCACCCAGAGGAGUUUGUUCUACUCAGGUUUGCAGACAGUUCUUGGCUGGGACUCCCUUCAUUAUUCUUGUGGAAACAUAGCCCAGAGCG